rnacentral:rRNA from 1 species
CCAGGUGGUUAUGGCGUAGAUGUCCCACCCGAUCCCAUCCCGAACUCGGCCGUGAAACUCUACAGCGCUGAUGGUACUUUGUCUUAAGGCACGGGAGAGUAAGUCGCUGCCUGGU